AGGUUGGGUUGGCUGUUCAGUUGAUUGGUUGGAUAGGACAGUUUUUGGGCCAUGGUCUGUUUGAGAAACGCGCACCAGCUUUAUUGGAUAACCUUGCUCAAGCUCUUCUUAUGGGUCCUUUCUUCGUCAUUCUUGAGAUUCUCCAAACGACAAUUGGAUAUGAACCAUAUCUUGGAUUUGAGAAAAAGGUGAAGACGAGGAUAGAAGCUAAUAUCAAAGAAUGGAAGGACAAACAGCAAAAGAAACUUUCUUAACUUCAAAAGAUUGUUUGCAAAUGUUGUCAUUUAUAGACCUCAGCUUUGAAAAUAGGAAAUUAAAAAUUUUCUAAAGACAACGAAUUUGUUGUGUUGUCAUUUACCACUGAAACUU